rnacentral:lncRNA from 1 species
UGGCGCGCAGGACGAAGCUCGCGGCGCGGGACCCGGAGGACGGUAUCCCGAGCCCACCGUGCUACGCAGCUAUUCCAAUCAAGUUCUCUGAAAAGCAACAGGCUUCUCACUACCUCUAUGUGAGAGCACACGGCAUUCAACAAGGCACCAAGUCCACCUGGCCUCAGAAGAGGACUCUUUUUGUCUUCAAUGUGCCCCCAUACUGCACAGAGCAGGAGAGCCUGUCCUGCCUCCAGUCCACCUGUGGCCUUGUCCAGUCUGUAGAGUUGAAGGAGAAGCUGGAGCUGGCUGGGAGUCAAGGUCGAAGUUUUUUCAUCCAAAGCCAGUUCCGCUUUCCCAGUGGCCCUGGAGCCCACACCUCCUCCCCACACAGUGGCAUCUGGCAUGGUGUGUGUGCCCAGGCCUGGCUUCCAAAAACCUGCCGUGGCCCAGGGCGACCCCUGCGUUUCACCGCAUCCCUCCCGUGACUGGAAGAAAGGAAGCCUCUGUAUCCUCUCUUCCUGGGGAGGAGUUGGGAACAGCUGUCACUUCGCGAAGAAGCAGGAUCACUGGAAGUGUGGCUGCCCCUGACCUGGAUUAUGGGAUGGCCUGUGGUUCUCUUCAUGGCUCAGGAAUAGCCUAGCACCGUCUCCCCUGGUGUAGCUACCACCUAGGCUGAGGGCAGGCCUGGAGACCUUGUGCCAGACGUGGGAAGGAGCCCCCAACCUCUGACAUCUCUCUCUCUUCAGG